GCCAGUGUGGUAUAUUGGUUUGAAUGUUGGACUAAGACUUUGGAGAUCAGGGUUUGAUUCCUCUCUCUGCCA